ACGUGCCAGCAGCCGCGGUAAAACGUAGGUCACAAGCGUUGUCCGGAAUUACUGGGUGUAAAGGGAGCGCAGGCGGGAAGACAAGUUGGAAGUGAAAUCCAUGGGCUCAACCCAUGAACUGCUUUCAAAACUGUGUUUUUCUUGAGUAGUGCAGAGGUAGGCGGAAUUCCCGGUGUAGCGGUGGAAUGCGUAGAUAUCGGGAGGAACACCAGUGGCGAAGGCGGCCUACUGGGCACCAACUGACGCUGAGGCUCGAAAGUGUGGGUAGCAAACAGGAUUAGAUACCCUGGUAGUCCACACCGUAAACGAUGAUUACUAGGUGUUGGAGGAUUGACCCCUUCAGUGCCGCAGUUAACACAAUAAGUAAUCCACCUGGGGAGUACGACCGCAAGGUUGAAACUCAAAGGAAUUGACGGGGGCCCGCACAAGCAGUGGAGUAUGUGGUUUAAUUCGACGCAACGCGAAGAACCUUACCAAGUCUUGACAUCCUGUGACGAUGCUGGAAAUAGUAUUUUCCUUCGGAACGCAGAGACAGGUGGUGCAUGGUUGUCGUCAGCUCGUGUCGUGAGAUGUUGGGUUAAGUCCCGCAACGAGCGCAACCCUUAUGGUCAGUUACUACGCAAGAGGACUCUGGCCAGAUGC
rnacentral:rRNA from 1 species